GUCCCGGGCUGGGGGUCACGGAAGGUAACGGCGUCGCAGUCCGGCUCGGAGCCGCCCCCGCUCACGCCGCCGGGGUCCUUGGCACGCCACCCCCGUCUCCCCGACCCAGGCGCGGCUCUGCACCCCUGGCGCGACCAGACCCCGGCGCUCUGCCGCACUGCCAGUGGGAGCGCGGGCGUGUUCGGGGGCGCCUGCACCCUCUCUGCGAGGACCCCUAGCCGGGCGCGCGCGCGCGGGUCCCCAGGCCGCUUUCCUUCCCUCAGCUCCCCGGCGCGCCCACCGCCAAGUCUCGCCCGCGCCCUGAGGAUUUGGGGAUUUGCCUUGGGGGGCGCGCUGGGGCUGUUCCCCGGCGGCGCUCCCCGCGAGCAGAACAGGUUCCUUCCAGUUUGGGUGUGAGCUGCGCGCGCGGCGCCGCGGACCCCAGUUCCUCCUCCAGCGCUCACUUCCCCCAAUUUCGUCAACUCGUGCUCCCCCAAGGUUCCCCUUUAGGGCGGGGGAGGGACUGCCGAAAUGGGCCCGAGGGAGCUAGCGGCCCGGCUGCUAUGGGUGCCCUGCUUUUCACUCUUUGCUGUAAGAGCAGCAGCAGCAACACAAACAGCAUCCGCGUUGAAGGGAUGUGAGCCGCCAGGCUGAGUCAGCAUCCCCGGCCCCGGGCGCGCGCGCAUCCUCCCUGCCGGGCGGAAGGCGACGUGCGCACAGGUGCAUGGCUGCCUAGCCCGCGGGGAGCUCCCGGUAGGGGAGGGACCCUGAUGUUCAGGCAAUACGUGCCCCUCAUCCCUAAGUCCUCGACCCCAGGGUCACUGUUGACUCAGCACAGGAUUCACGAGAAACCUCGGUUAAGAGCUCAUCCUGGGGACAAAGCAGUGUGCCGGAUCCCAGGCAUUUUGGAGCCCACGGGGGCGCAGGCUUGGCUUCCUGGUCUCCACCUCACAUCCCCGGGGCCAAUUUGGGACCUGCUCGAAAGCAAAGGCCUUAUUCUCCAAAUUCCUCUCCCAGCUUUGGCACCGGCUGCUCCCUGCAAUUGGGGUUUGGAGAAUGUGGUUCUAAGACAAGAAAAGUUGAGGCACAGAGCACUGGAGGUAUUCACCGGAAGUUUCACAACGUUUAUGGACACACUGACCGUUUUUGCAACCAGAGCUCAUCCACAGAUGACAUUUGCCACCUGUGUUUGGAUAACAGCGAGGUGACUGGAAUUCCAACCUCUGCCCAGCCUUACCAGCCACAGACCGAUGACUCUUGCCCGCCCUGGUUAGAGGCUGGCUCUACCUUGUUCCUUCAAUCUUAGUCAGACGAAGCGUGAAAACCCCUGCUGUUUUCACUCCUCCAGGGAAAGCAAAGAGAGGGAGAGCACAGUAUUACCAUGCUAAUCAACCCCCCCCCCCCCAACCAACAAAACUAACUCUGUUUACUUCUAAAUCCGAACAAAAGAACCUUUGGAGUCUGGAGUACAGAACCAGAAAAAUCUGGAAAUUAAGUCAAGGGUUCAGCUCCCCUCUUAGCCUCUUCUGUUGUGUCUGUUGCAACCCAUGUCAGCAGAGCCCUCCGGCCCUUCAUUUACGGUGGGCAAGGCGAUAAUGAUGCCCUUAAAAAGUCCCUCAGCAUCUUCUCGGGAAAUAAAUUGGCUCCUGAGAGCUAUCCCCACUGCUUUCUCUUUUCUAGCCAUCUUGCUCAGGGUCAUUUGCAUGAGAACAGAUUCCUUUGUACAAAGUUGGCCUGCUUGUUCUCUGUCAACAUUUAGAGUCCUUCUAGUCUUCACGUUGGGUUGCUAGGCAGAUAUGACCCUGGCUUGCAAAUAAGCUCACUGCAUUUACCAGCCCGUGAGAACUUCAACUUGGGGAAAUCUUAGAGAAACGUGAAGCCCUUAACCAUCUGGAACUCAGAAACUCAUUCGGGGCUGACUGCGGCUUCGAGAACAUCCAGGUGCUCUGCACAUGUGAGGAUUUGUCCUGCACUCGCCAGCUGGAGUCCUGAACAGAUGCAAGGCUGGUGCUCUGGCUUUAACAUCCCUGAGCACAGAGGGGUCAAUUUCUAAGUGGCCAAGGAGCAGUUGUUGACACCGAUGUCUCCUUGCUGUGCACAGCCAGUCUUCUUACGGAGCUGCAGUGAGGAAAGCCAAAUUCGGGGCUGCAAGUUUCCUGACUCUUUUGAAUUAGGAUUCCAGAUGGGGGCCCUAUUUCUGUAGCCCUCACCAACCCUAUAGGCAUCACCACCACCACCCCUGCCACCACCACCAGUAUCUUCUUGCAAACUCUACUACUGCUCUCAAGAGACUCCCGGCAUUGAAAGUGAGCAGAAGAGAGCUGUCCGAGAAGUCUCUAGCUGUGGCCUGCCAUCACUCCACACAGUACGAAUCCUCCCCUUACCACCAUGGGCUGGCUUUUUCUAAAGGUUUUGUUGGCGGGGGUGAGUUUCUUGGGAUGUCUUUAUCCUCUUGUGGAUUUUUGCUUCAGUGGAGAAACAAGAGGCCAGAAGCCAAAUUUCGUCAUCAUUUUGGCAGAUGACAUGGGGUGGGGUGACCUGGGAGCAAACUGGGCAGAAACGAAGGACACUGUCAACCUUGAUAAGAUGGCUGCAGAAGGAAUGAGGUUUGUGGAUUUCCACGCCGCUGCCUCCACCUGCUCACCAUCCCGGGCCUCCCUGCUCACCGGCCGGCUGGGCCUUCGCCAUGGAGUCACGCACAACUUCGCAGUCACCUCUGUGGGGGGCCUUCCACUCAAUGAGACCACCUUGGCGGAGGUGCUGAAGCAGGCUGGCUAUGUCACUGCGAUGAUAGGCAAAUGGCAUCUUGGGCACCACGGCUCUUAUCACCCCAACUUCCGUGGUUUUGAUUACUACUUUGGAAUUCCCUACAGCCAUGAUAUGGGUUGCACAGAUACCCCGGGCUACAACCUCCCUCCUUGUCCAGCAUGUCCACCAGGCGAUAGAUCAUCAAGGAACCUUGAGAGGGCCUGUUACACUGACGUGGCCCUUCCUCUCUAUGAAAACCUCAACAUCGUGGAGCAGCCCGUGAACCUGAGCGGCCUUGCACGGAAGUAUGCUGAGAAAGCUACCCAGUUCAUUCAGCAUGCAAGUGCCAGUGGAAGACCCUUCCUGCUCUAUGUGGGCCUGGCCCACAUGCACGUGCCAUUGUCCAGGACCCAGCUAUCAGCGGACCCACGGAGCCAAAGGCCAUAUGGGGCAGGUCUCCGGGAGAUGGACAGCCUGGUGGGCCAGAUCAAGGACAAAGUCGACCGCAUAGCAAAAGAAAACACAUUCCUCUGGUUUACAGGAGACAACGGCCCGUGGGCUCAGAAGUGUGAGCUGGCAGGCAGCGUGGGUCCCUUCACUGGAUCGUGGCAAAGUCAUCAAGGGGGAAGUCCAGCCAAGCAGACCACCUGGGAAGGAGGACACCGGGUCCCGGCUCUGGCUUACUGGCCUGGCAGAAUCCCCGUCAAUGUCACCAGCACCGCCUUGUUAAGUGUGCUGGAUAUCUUCCCCACGGUGGUGGCUCUGGCUGGGGCCAGCCUGCCCCAAGGCCGGCACUUUGAUGGUCUGGAUGCCUCUAAGGUGCUCUUUGGUGGGUCGCAGACUGGGCACCGGGUAAGUGGAAGAGGUAUGUGCCCUGCCUGGGCUCUCCAGGAAGUUGGCCUGCCACCUCUCGUCUGGGAGCAUUUGUGUGAGCAAGCAUCCUCAGAAGAUGCAUGCAAGUGGCUGCUGAAGAUCCAGUUUGAGAAACCUCAAGGGCGACUCCUUAGAGAUGAACCUCUCUUUCCACCCCCCCUCCUCCUCUUCCCCUAUAAUUCAUCCAGUUUGUCAAUCCACAUUUAUAUUUAACAAUUUGGCUUAGGGCGGGUGUACAUUGAUGCUUAUUCCCUAUAAUGUAUGGGUUUUUUUCUCACAAAUAUUUAAUUUUCUGACACAAUGUAUGCUCCUGGCACACUUCUUAGAUGAGAUGGCUGACCAGUGUCUGUGCCAUACGUUUUGUGAGGCUCCCCCACUAGAAGCUUCCUGAGGGUAUGGGUCUUACCACCGAAUUCGCAGUGCACCUAACACUGUGCCUGGCAUCCAGCCAGCUUGCAGUAACUGCAAACUGGAUGAAUAAAUGAAUGAAUAAACAAAUGAGUGAAAGAAGGGACGUUCCCCAGCUUCUGGAGGGCUCAGCACACACACGACUCUGCAGCCCCUGCACUAGCUUGGGCUUCUGCCUCCCAGCAUCCCAUUGUCCCCUCUUCAUAUGCUUUGAAGCCCUUAAUGGCAGCAACAGCCAGGAAAUGUCAGGCCUGAUGGCCUUUCCCUGUCAUUUCCGUGUGUUUUCCUUCUGCCAAAAGGAAGAGGAAGUGGGAGGAGGGAAGGAGGCUGGCGGAACCCAGGGCCCCCUUUGUAAGGCCCUGUGAAUACAUGGCUUCUCAGUUAAGGACUCACACAUCAAAGAGUCUAUUUAUGUCUUUACCGAGGGUCACAUGGAAGUGACUCAAGUGCUGCUCAAAGGUACUGUGGCGGUUACUGAAGCUGCCCUUCCCUCUCUGCCAGUCCCAGCAAACCAGCACCCUGGUCCUGAGUGGGCCAUCAGUGCUUCUGUGAGCACUCGUGUAGUUUCUAGGGGCUGUCAGACGAUGUCUGGAAUGUCCUCUGAAGAAGGAGUGCUUCUUGCCAGAAUAUCUGACCCUCUAGAGCUGCAGACCCUUCCAGGCCGAGCCUUACUCCGGAGCAACAGCCAAGCAGGAAGAUGGUUUCCGCCUCCAGGCUGGAAGUUUGCAGUAUGUCACCCUGGGGGGUUAUCGAAGACGUCAGUGGAGAGGUGCUCCUGAGUGUUUAUUACCAUAGCUACUAAUAGAAUAAUUGGGGUCACCAGGAAGUGCUUCAAGGACUGCGGUCUCCUUGACGUUGUCGGUCCGCCGGUGGAAACCGGUUCCUUCGCGAGCUGACUUCCGUUCUCAGAUGGGAGAGCGCUCUUUCUCUAGUUGCAGCCUUCUGCACACUCAGAGAGGCCCCAUCUUCAGGGCUUAAUAGCCGUCGGUCUAGUGCCCAAAGGGGUUGGGCGCAGGAACCAGGUAGAAGGACCAGAUACAAGCCACAACACCAUGUGGGGUUUUCAUGGGGACAUAUGAUGUGUGGUAACGCAGCUGCAGCUGGGCUCAUUUGCUCCCUAACCACACCCCAUGGGCCAGAAGGAAACAGCUAUAACUUACUGCUUGCCGGAAGCUGCUGAUGGUAAUCGUCAAGAGUGAAAGCAGUUUAGAGCUGGCACCUGUGGGUCACACCCAGCCUCCCCGAGCACCAGAUUCCUGCAAUGUUAGUAAAGAUGCUUGAGAUAGACUAUUUGGAGUUUGAGGGCAACAGAGGUAGUGGUUGGCCCUGAAUCUGUCCUUGGUCUUUUUUGGUCAGCCACUAAAGAGACAAGAGUAAAUCGCCUUGAAUUUGCUGAAGGGAGGCCAGGAGGUAAAAAUACAAGCGACUAUAGAGAUGUACACGCAUAGACCCAUGAGUAUCGACACACAUACAUACAUGUGUACGCAUGUAUUUUUCAACAAUUUGUCUUCACUCUUAGAUGUCCUGGGCUUACAGGAUUCUAAUAUGGGUCGGUUUAGAAAACCAUUCCAGUUUCAAGAAGCUCAAAGUAACUCCUAGGUGGUGAUCCAGAAACAGUAUGCAAAUACUUCUCAGCAACUGGGUUCUUCCCUAUCUUGCAAAUGAAGUAACCGAAAGUUGAAGAGCUAAAGCAAUCUAGAGCAACGUACUCUCUGGCAACCUCCCCAGGCCCUAUGCUGAGAGGUUCCAAGGCAAAUAAUGGGCUCUUGGUUUUCCUGCUGGAUGGUCUGCUCACUACCCACUUUAUCGGCAGCAAGGGACAUCAUGUCUGUGCUGUGCAAAACCCACAGCAGCUGAUGCCAUGCUGCACGUUCUUGCAUCUGCUGAGACUUCUGCUUCUGAUCCAGAUAGGUCUGUGUCUAGGCAAUGAGGGCAGCCAAGGAGGGAGGGGGGAGCCGGGAAGGAGAGGGUGCACAGCCUGGCACCAUAUGUCCCAUUUUGUGCUUGCCUGACUCCCAGAUGGAAGCUGGAGGUUGUCACCACUGGUCAAGUCCUAUCUCAGCCCCAGGUUGCCAGGACCAGGUCCAAAAACUGUCAGCAAAGGGAAGGCUUCCUCAAUGGCUCUGCAGCUGCCCAGCCCAAACCAGUCUGAGGCUGCUGUGGGUGAUAAAAUGCUUGGCACACCCUUGCAGGCCAUACAUUGAGGAAACUGAAGCUGGGUUUUAGUCUCUGGAACACUGAUCACUUCUCUUAGGGAGGCCCCUAGUGGUGAAAGAUGCCAUCCGGAGUGGCUGGCAAGCCUUUUGGAGACUGAGAGCUGUGCACCCCCACCUGAUGGGGCGGGAGGGCCCUCCUGGGGAUGCUACCUAAGCACCAGCCUCCAGGGCCUAAUGUAAGGAGACGCUGGCCUACUUAAAAAAGCAAAACAAAAUAAGACAGAGUCAACAGGUAAGAAAGGCAGCCUGGAAGGUGCAACAUGUUUGCAGAAGAUAAAGUUAUCUUUGAAAUUCGGACCGGAAGUCCUCUGAAGAGGAAAUGUCUUCAGCUGUGAUUCAUGCGUAAAUUUGCCAACCUCCUUCCUAUGUUGAUAUAAACAAGAACGCCAUCAUCAGUCUGCUCCAAGGGAAGAAAAAAAAAAAAGUCGUAUACGAGUUCUCCAAAAUCCAUCCACACUUCUGAGAGCGAGCCAUCCCGAGGUUUUGCUUCCUCCUGGAGUUUGGAAGUUGCCUCUGGUAACAGUGCAUAAAUAUCCUGAAUGUGGCAGCCCACCCUUAUGGGAUUUCUGUUAUGGAGACUCACAUAAUGUCAAUGAUCUGAACCAGCGGACCUUGACUCCCACCUUCUGGGGGUCUGAGUGCAUCAUAGAUCAGUUGACAAUAGGCUUUCCAAAUCUCCCACUUCCUGCCCUCUCCAGAAGGAAACAAAACAGCCUCCCGCGGUGAGAGGCUUGGCUUCCUGCAGGGCUGGAAGAAGUGAGGGUUUUGAGUUACGACUUCUUUUCCUGUUUGGAAGGAGCCUGCUGUCAUCACGCUGGCUGGGGAACUUGCAGGGAUUGUCACGAGAGCACGGAAGCGGCAGGUGUGGGAGGAGCCCCGCCCUCGGCAGCGUCCUUUCAGAGCUGGGAAACUUGGGGGACAGCUGUUUACUGCUCCGACAGAUGUUUCUCAUUUUUUUUUUUAGCCCCAUGGAAACUCUGAAUCACAUAAGUGCUUUCCAGCAAUAUAUAUCGGUCAUGAUUCAUACCAGGGCAGUCUCACGCUUCCAGCCCAAACCCACCAACCUACCAAGGACGAUGGUCAUUUAUUUUCUACCAAAUCCUGCCCUUGGGAACCCUCAAUUAAGUGUUUCCAUUUUGUAGAAUGCUUCUUUCGUCGAUGACCUGAUGAGGAAGGAUUUCCUCAGUCUGAGCGGAGUAGGAGUGAGUCAAAGGUGAGGGCAUCUAUGUUGAGAGGUUGGGCUGUGCCCAGUUCUGGAGAAAUCACACUGAGCUGUCCUCUCAAGGAUGCUUUUCAUGCCAUCUUUGCUCAAGUGAGAGUUAGAAAAUUGACGGGAUGCUGAAGAAGCCAUUUUUCGAAGAGAUCUGAAGAUCACUUGCGUCGGAAUCCCUGGGAAUUUUUGUAGAAGACGCAGGUUCCCAGGUCCUAUCUUGAACCAGAGGAGUGGGGCCCAGGCAGGGGUGGCCUCCUGGGUGGGUGACCACUCCACACUUAGAAGGACACUGUGCUUGGUUUAUAGUGCACGUGCUGUGGCUGUCUUGAAAUUCUUAAUUUUCUUGUUCUCAUUUUGCAUUGGAGCCUGCAAAUUAUGGAGCUGGUCCUGGGCCUAGGAAUCUGAACAGAGCUGUAACCCACUCCGAUUAAUUAACUAGUCUCGGUGCUGUUUCAUCCCAACAGUGGGGCAGCCGGAGAGUACGGAGAGCUUCAGACUGUCCGCCUGGAGCACUACAAGGCUUUCUACAUCACUG